UUUCAUAUAUAUAUAUCUCAUUCGUUCAUUAUCGUUGCUACUGUAUUUUACUUACCCAUACUGUUGUUUAUCUCUUCCUGAUCCGGUGAGUACUCCUCGCCUUCUUCGGCUUGCGGUACCCACUGGGAGGGGAGACAUGUUUACAUGUUCUCACCUCCCCCACUAUUUUUCAGGUAUCGCGGGCGGUGAGGUUGAGACGAGACGUGAGACACGUGGAUAGCUGUCGUUAGAGCCUCCGACCCAGUUUGUACUAUUUAGUUAUUACCCUAUUAUUUCUGGUGAUAUAUAGCUUAGUCGGUCUAUAUGGUUCAGUAUUUUAUUAUGUUAAAAUAUUCAAGGAUUUCUGAAUUUUCGUAAAUAAAAGGUUUUCUACCCCUCGUGGUAGCGUUUUUAAAAGAUAAAAGUUUCUGUGUAGGGAACAGUUUUCAAAAGAUUUUCUGUGGAAUUAUAUUUUAACAUUGAAUUUAAAUCUGUGAUGUGAAUGGUGAAUGUAUGAAUGUAUAGUUAUCUUUAUAUUUAUUUAGUUGUGGUUGUAUCCUGUUUGUACUUUUGUACUUGUGCGACGCCGUGCAAAUACAGGGGAGACUUUGUCCGUGUGAACAGUGGAUUUCCUGUAUUUGUGGCGGAUCUGGCAUUCCCUGGGGUUAGGUUUUCAAAAAAAAAAAAAAAUAAUUUAGACGCUUUCGCAAUGCUUUGAAAUCAAAAAGGAUCUCCGGGGCGUGACAUUAAUUAAGUUUGAAAUUAAGCAUCGGAAUAACACUAUUCCACAAAAAUAGUGGAAUAGUAAAUCUUUAGCUAUUCCGGGGUAAUCGGGAAUAACAAGGUUUGACCGGGAUAAAAUAUUCCGGCAAAAAAUUACCCCAUUUGGCGGAAUAGCAGGGAUAACUUUCGUUAUCCCCGCUUAUCCCACGAACCAAACGGGGCCUAAAAGUUUAAGUAAAAACAGAUUGUAAUUCCUGUAAUCGCCGUCCAAAAAUAUUGAGAAUUUGCUAAUUUUGAAAAAAAUAGUCAUUGAGUUAGAGUUGUUUGUACUAUUACAACAUAAAAUAGUACUGUUGUAAAAUAAUGAUGAAAAAUAUUAAUGACAAUUUAAUAAUAAUUAGUGGGCAGUUUCACAACCCACUCUCUACAAGUAUUCAAUUGGGAGCUAAGCACAAGAGCAAUAAUAAAAUAAAUAAAAUCAUAAGAACACAAGGAUUUACGUGAUUGAACAAUACCUACAUUCACGCGAGAAUAAUACAAAAAAAGUUUUCACUAUAAAAUUUAAAGAUUACAAGAAAAAUACAAAUAAAAGAGAUAUCACUUUCAAUCUGAAAACAUAGAAAGCUCUAACAAUCUCCAGCUCUACCUAAAUAGUGCAAACUACACCUCACAGAAAAGAUCUCACCUCGUGCUUGAUAGAAUUAAGAUUAAACUAAGAUCUAAGAUUUUCUCUCUUUUUCUUCUACUUCUUUUCUCACUCUCUACUUCUCUCUCUUCUUUUCUCACUAAUAUUCUAAUAUCUCACUUUAGCUUAUAAGAAAAGAAGCUAUCAAAUAUGAACCUUUAGGGAGCGUUUGGUUCGAGUUAUGUAAUAUUACAGAGUAUUUUGAUAUAUUCAGGUAUCUUGGAUUUCUAAUGAGAUUACUACUGAUGCUGCAUUAGUGCGUUUUGUUUAAUACAGUAAUGUAAUGCUGGAUUGCAGUGUUUAUAGCGUUACUAUGUUUGGUUCUGUCUAUAAAAUUUAGUAAUUUAGACAAUAAAGUAUAAUCUAUUCCAAAAUUUGUCACGCCCCGGAUUACUCGUUUUCCCGAGCACGCCGACAAAUCCGUCGUAUACAAAGAAAUUUUUUCUGUACACGAAGCGAUAGCUGUAUCUGCACCUGUAAUCAUACAACACUAUAACCAGUAGUAUACAGCUGCUAAAAGAAACAUAUAUAAAUAACCUCGGUUCAACAUACAUACAUAGUAUCCUAAUACAAAAAUCACUCGCUCUAGCGAGCACUAAUAUCAGUAUGUAUAAGAACCAAAAACUACAACUAUCUGUACCUGGUAUAAAUCUCUAGGUCAGCAGCAACUGGGAAGGGAUCUAGCUCGCGACUCUCUUUCCACGAUCAGUCUCCACGACAACAGUAGCCGAAGAAGAGGGCUCUGCAAAAAGGAUCCAUAACUGGGUGUGAGAACUACUACAAAAAGAAGUAGUCCUCAGUGGGUACCGCUACCGACCUCAACGGCUCACUCACUAAGUCUACAGAAGUAAGCAGGGAUAGUAAGGAAAGCUGGAAUAAUCUACAGCUAUAUGCCUCUAUACUAUCAUGAUCUAACACUAACAAUCUGUAGAAAACGUAAAUCCUGACCCAAUCUCAUUAGGGACUGUGAACACACCCGUCCUGCCUGUCGAAGCUACAUUAACUGCCACCACGCUAGGUCGUUAGUAGAGAGCAAGUCGAAACAGGACAAACCGACAUCAACGCAAAUGCAAUAAGCCCGACUCCGGAGUGGUACUUAUGGGCGCUACCCAACCGAAUAUGCAAGCGUAUCUCUAUCGAGCUUAAUCAGGCUCUCACGGGCUAUAGUCAAGUAAACAGGGUCUAACAACCAAACUCACGUACCCUCGGCACAAUCCUUUGCAAAAACAGUAAUCUGGGUCUACUGUCAACCUCAACGGAAUCUGACAGUCUGGAACAGUCUAAAUACUGCUGUAAAAAUAUGCUUGGCAUCCCAGCACGAGCGUAAAUGCAUUCUACACUAAUCUGGGUAUCCACCGUCCACAAACUGCGGCGAUACAAACAAACUACGCUCCUAGAGCUAAAUCUGGUAGUUUUAGCAAGUGACGGUGUAGAAUCGCUAGUUUUCUCCUAAGUAAAUUCCAAGUCCAACAUGUAUAUUUAACUAACGUUUUAAGCUUCCAACUCAUAUUUCAAUAAGCAUACAAAUCACUAGUUUGAGUCAAUUACAUGAUAUACAAAAGACUAAAUAUACAAACUGUCUACUACUAAACUUAUGAGGAGAUCCGAAAAUUUCGGUAGCUUAAACAUCAACCUACCUCUAAUGCGAGUCCGAUCACAGCUAGAAGUCGCUGAAACCCUGCCAAGCUCAGUCUCAAACCAGUAACAACACUCCCCCAAGAGUCUAAACAUAAGAACACAAAAAUUGCAUCAAUACCCUCAAAAUUUCAGCACUUAAGCUUAAUAUCUCCAAUUCCAAUGUCAAAACUCACCUUUCAAUCUUCUAAUCUACAAUUCAAAUGAAGAACAGACUCCAAACCAGCUUAAUAUCUCCAAUUCCUACGUCGCACACGAGCUAAAACGUCGAAGGUCGCUGCUAGAAUUCUGCUGAAACUGUAGUCCUCAAGAUGAAAAUUGUGGAAUUUGGGUAAAUUGGAGUAUUUUGAGGGACUAGAGUGCAAAAUAUGGCUUCACUGUGAAGGAGAGAUGAAAAAGCUUCUCAGGGGUCGAACACAAGCCUUUUAUAAGGAGAAAAGUAGGUCAGAUAAGCCCCAGGAACAAAGGAAUACAAACCUGCUGUCCUGCAGGAACGGGGACUUUCGGGUGCCCGAAACCUACUUCUGGGCGUCCGAAAUCUUCAGGUCAUACAAAGUUCUCUCUUCGGUUCCUCCGCCUGCGGUAUGAUGCGUCCAAAACCUGGUCCGGCGGACCUCACCUACCACCAGACAUGUGUCAGCACAGUCGAUAUUCCUAAAGUGAAAUUUCGGACUCACUUCUGGGCGCCCGGAACACAGGAUCCGAAUUGGCUUUCAGUUCAGAUCAGUUCAGCACUCAAGAUCUGAGCGACCUAAACCAUGUUUUGGGAGCCCGAAACUGGCAAAACUCUAGUUUUGCUUAUUUGAGUGCGCCAAGUUCAUUUCUGCAUCCAUUUCGUGUAGAAAUGAUUCCGACUCUGUCCGACACUCUUCAGAUGUGUCGACUAGUCCCUAAAACUGAAACCAAUCCGAUACCAAAUCCUCGGGACACUACAAAAUUGCUCUUAGUCAUAUUUCGUAAAUUUUUUCUUACUGUUUACCAACAAUAUAUUUUUUUUACCAAAUUUUAUUUUAAAUAAUUUAAUUUUUAAAUUUUUAAAUUUUAAAUUUUAACAAAAAUAUAAAUUUAAUAUUUUAAUUUAAAAUAUUAAUAUGAAAUUUCUAAAUUUAAAAUCUAAAAUUUAAAUAUAAAUAUAUAUAAAAUAAAAAAUUAAAAUCUAAAUUUAAAACUCAUAAUUUAAAAUAUAAAUUUGUUUUUAAAAUUUAAAAUUUAAAAUUUAAAAUUUGAAAUUUGAGAAAUUUGAAAUUUAAAAUUUAAAAUUUAAAACUUAUAAUUUAAAAUCUAAAAUUUUAAUUUUAAUUUAAAAUUUAAAAUUUAAAUUUGAAUUUUAAAAAUUUAAAAUUUAAAAAUUAAAAAUUUAAUUUGAAAAUUAAAAAUUAAAAAUUAAAAGUUGACAAUUCAAAAUUAUUAAUUAAAUUUUUUAAAAUAACGUAUUGAAAGGAUUUCGAGAAUUAGAGGGUUAAAUUGUCAUUUUACAUAAUAUAUAGUAUUACCGGUUUUCAGUAACACGACCCCCCUCUUGUUAAUAUUUUCGGUGUAAUGCUGCUCGAUUUGUAAUGCUAUAUUAACGACUAGAUUACAUAACGGAUGAAUCAAACACAGUAAUUUUGGCAGGAUUGUCUGUAAUUAUACCAGGAUAAUUCGAACCAAACGCACCCUUAGAUCAAAAGAAUCAAAAUUUAAAGACUUAUAAGUACAAGGCUCAGAUGUGUAAUAAGAAAAUAUAGAAAUAGAAGAUUAAAUUUCACCAAAUUAUAUAGCCUAAAUAUAAUGAGAUCCAAAUAACAAAUAGGUUGAAUAUAAUUUGCUCAACAAGUACGAUCUGAAAUAGUUUGUAGACUUACCUCUCCUCUGAUGCUUCAGAGUUUAAAAAGAAUAUAUAGAGCGUAUGGAAAGGAAAAAUAAAUAAAUAAAUAAAAGCUCAUAAUUUACCUUUGUAGCAGAUGAAAUGAACACACUAACUAGUACGUUCAAUUUCUUUGCACCAUUUAUUAACAAAUACAAUUUUUUCGCCUCUUCAUUGAAAGGUAAAGAAUGGCAAGAACGUACGAAACAUAAAUAAAAAAAUAAAUAAAUAAACACUGCUGAUACACUUUGCAGCAGCAUUUUUUACUUGAGCAAAUUAAUUUAAUCUUUCAUUAAUUACAAAAAAACCUCAAUUAGCAAUUCACAACCCUGCAAUUCUCCCGGAUCUCCCCCUCCUCUCCGGUGAGCACCCCGAUGGACCCCAUCUUCGCCAUGGCCGCCGCAAAUUUCGCAGCCCAAGCCGCCCGCUCCACCGCGUAGAACCUCACGAGCCCCGCCGUUGCCGGGCUCGCCACCAGUGUCUGAUCCGACGUCAACACCCCCCGGUGCGCCACCACGUUCUUGUAGUACUGGUUGUCCAGCGUCGUCGGCGACACGGCGUCAAGCGGCACCGUCGGAUCGGUGGCAUCGCUGCUGCCGGGGGUGGUCAGAGUCGGGCACUUCGUCUUCAGGUAGGCGGCGAAUCCCGGGUCCAUCGACGGGUCCUGCGGCCGGCUGGUGGUGAAGUUGUACAGCCGACUGUCGAACGACGAGCAGUGCGAUCGGCCGAUGGAGUGCGCGCCGGACAGCGUGACCAUGUCGUCGAGGGCGAGUCCCUUCUUCGCAAAGUUGGCGGUGAGCUGACGGGCGCCGAAGGACGGAUGGGGGAUGUUGGGGAGGACUUCGGACUCGCGGGAGACCUGGCCGUCGCGGCGGCCGGCAGGGACGGGGUAGUCGAUACCGCCAGCGAGGAAGGCGGCGUCGCGGGCGGCGAAGGCGAGGAUGUCGGCGCAGGAGACGGUGCGGCUGCACGCGGCCUCCACCGCGGCCUUCGCGGCGUCGAUCACCGGGAAGCCCCGCAGGCUCGGGUUGUUCGCCACUGAAUCCUUCUCGGCGCGGUUGCCGGGGGUCGAGUCCAGCAGCACCGAAGCAUCGCACCCCUGAGGAUUGAAUUGAUAGACGAAAUUAAAUUUUGGUUAAAAUUUUGAAAACUCAUGCAUGCAUAUGUAUAUCAAGCUUUGGAAGAUUUGCAUGAUGAGUUGUAAUUUUUGCUUAUAAGGAGGUGUCAUGAAUGCUGGUUAUGUAGAACAAAAGAAGAAAACCUACUUGGUUGGACGUCAAGUUGCAUGCAUGCAUGCAGAAAAAUAUGUAGAAAAUAAGGAAGUGAAAAUGCACUGAGACCCGUCAGCUAUUAUAAGUGAUUCAGAAACAGGGCUCUGAUCAGCUUUAUCUUAUUUUUGAUCAGAUCCUUCAAAUCUAUUAUUUUACUUGAGUUCUUAUGAUAAUCAUUAACCAAUUAUUCAUUAAAUUUAAUAGUUUUAUUAGCAAUUACGAUAUAUAUUUUUUUUGCUGAAUGUGAUUGAAGUUAUGAAAUUUAAUAAAAUAUCUAAUUAUUCAAUUUUUAAAAAUAAAUAUUAAAAAAAUAUUAAUUCGAAAAAAGGUAAAUUUUAAAGGGGAUCUCCAUUUCCAAACAGGCUACAGUUGGUGGUAUCUCCAUUCAUUUUUACCAAAUAAGUAUGUAAUUAUACUUAUACGCAUGUACAUGUGCAAGUACAAGCUAGAGAGUAUAUAUACCCUAACGAAGCAAUCGUGGAAAUGCAUCCGAAUGAGCCCGGCGGCGAGGCCGGGGUCUUGCGCGACGGCCUGGCUCACAGUCUGCCGUACGAUGGCCUCCACCGCAGGACACGAGUAUCGGUAGAAACCGACGUCUAAUGCCGACGUUGUUGGCGACGCCGGGGUUAGGAUGGCAAUGGAGAAGAACAAACUAGAAGAGAAGAUGAGCAGAUAAGAUCUGGAACCCAUUAUUGGAGACUAUAGAGAGAGAGAGAGAGAGAGAGAGAGAGAGAGAGAGAGAGAGAGAGAGAGAGAGCUAAUUAGUUUACUUAAGGAUGAUGGGGAGGUUUAGAGAGAUGGUUGAGUAUAAAUAGGUGGCAUAAAUGAUGUGUGUUUACUCAGUUAAUUAAAAUGACGUGAGCAUGAUAGUGUGGAGCGGACCUUUUCCUUUAUUUAAUUUAUUUGGUCAAGUAAGCGCGUUUGCCAAAAGCUAUUUUAAGUGAGAGGAGCAGGACGACCCAUUCUCAAGGAUUAGAAUAUAAAUAAAUAUGUGAUAUUAAUUGCUUAGAGUGUAAUUCAUUCAUUACCAAGUUGCUAUUUAUUUGCCUGCUCACCAUGUAUGUGUAUUUAAUUUCAAUAUAAUUAUGUAGGUGCAUGUGGCAUGAACUUUGACACGAUCAUGGCUAGACUCGGUCCUUUUCUCAACUUGUGCAAAGAUUAUAUGGGACUUUUUGUAUUGAGACGGUUUAAGUUAUCUUUUAUUAUUUAUAGUAGUUGAAUUUCUUCGCACUAAAAACUGUGGAUAUGACAAAUGGUGGAUUAGGCUAUUCUCAGUUGAAUUCGAAGUAGCAGAAGCUAGCGGGAGUGGCGAGCUAGAACCUCAUUUGGUUCUGACAUCUUACAUUGCGUUUGGUUCGGAUAUAAGUUAAAAUUAUUUAUUAUAGCGAUAGUUACAAGUUCAGAUAUAAGUAAGAGUUAAAUCAAUUUUGCAUUCGGAUGAAAAUUAUUUCUAGGAAUAAAGUAAAUAGUAUUUUGAUGGUUAGAUUAGAAUAAUGGGAAGAAAAGCUACAGUUUUAAAUUAAAAUUAUUUUAUCUAAUUAAUUAACAUCAAAAUAUUACUUAAAAAUAAUUUUAAAAAUUAAUAAAUUUAUUAGAUAUAUUAAUACAUGAUUGAUUAAUAUAAAUAUUAGUUUCUGGAUAAUUAUUGAUAAUUAAUUAUAAAUAAUAAACAAAGUUGACACAUUAUGUUAUUAUUUAAGCAAUAAAUAAUGCUUUAAAUAUAUUAAUUAGAUUAANUAAUUAAUUAUAAAAAAUAAUUUAACAUUUUAAUUAGUUAGUAAAUUAUUUUAGCUAGAUAACUAGUAAAAAAAUUAAUUAGAUUAAUAGAAAUAUUAAUACAUGAUUGAUUAAUAUAAAUAUUAGUUUCUGGAUAAUUAUUGAUAAUUAAUUAUAAAUAAUAAACAAAGUUGACACAUUAUGUUAUUAUUUAAGCAAUAAAUAAUGCUUUAAAUAUAUUAAUUAGAUUAAUUAAUAAUUUAAUAUAAUAAUUAAAAUUAAAUUUAGAUUUUAAUUAAUCUUGUUCCCACUUGUGAACAGAUUUGUUUUAGAAAAAAAGGGUGGAACAACAAUUCGUGUUAUACCAACUUAUUCCAGAAAUUUAAAAAUUACUAUUUUCGAAUACUAAACACAGAAUUUGAAAACAAAAAGGAGAAUAAAAACUUAUACCCCCUUUAUUUCGAAACCAAACGCUGCCUUAAAGUUGCAACUAUCAAAGGUAAAGGACUUCGCUGAUUGUAAGUCCUCCAUAAGCAUGCACAAUCUAUGGGCAGUUAACCUACUGCAAUGUGAAAACAAUUGUCACGCCCCGGGGUGCAUUUUCGUUUGAAAACACAACGGAAAUAGCUAGAAUUUUUUUUUAAAAGACCUGACCCCAGGGUAUGUCAGAUCCGCCACAAAUACAGAGAGUUCACUGAUCACACGGACAGAGUCUCCCCUGUAUUUGCACAGCGUCGCACAAGUACAACAAGUAAACAACCACAAUUAAAUGAUUAUAAAAAUAACUAUACAAUCAUUCAUUCACCAUUCACAUCACAGUUAUAUAUUCAAUAUUUAAAUAUGAAUCUACAUCUAUCAGUUAAAACGUUUCCAACCCAGAAACAGGUUUUGAAAUACUAAGAUACAAAAUCCACAGAAAACCUUUUUAAAAACUGUUCACUACACGGAAACUUUUAUCUUUUGAAAAUGCUACCACGAGGGGUAGAAAACCAUUCAACAUUUGAAAUCCACAAAUCCUUUUUAUUACAUCAUAAAUCCAACAGAAAUCUCAGAUAUUCAAAUAAUAUAACAAAACUGAACCAUAAUAUGUCUAAGUAAUUUAUCAGGCAUGAAGGGUAAAGAAAUAAGCGACACGGGACGGAGCUCUAUCGUAGGCUAGACACGCUCCUCACCAGCUGUCCCACUCGGACUUGCGACGUCACCUGUAAUGGGGGCGGGGGGUGAGAAAAUGUAAACAUGUCUCCCCUCCCAGUGGGUACCGCAAGCCGACGAGGGCGAGGGGUACUCACUAGUCACGGAGAUAAACAAGGAUAUAGAUAAUAGUAGUACAGUAGUUAAGAUAAACAAGUACUGAAAUGUAUAUAAAUAAACCACUACAGCUACUGUAUACAUGCAUCAACGGGACAAUCAGUCCAAAAGUACCCAAUCUGAAAUUGCCGUAUUGAUACCGAACACCUCAGGCCUAUGCCACAUCUGCUCUGACAGAAACAAGCCAUAUUGGUACCCAACACCUCAGGCUGAAAGCAUAUAACCCCUCUGGGCUCACGGGUUGACACAAGCAACCACUUUUCCGGAAAAGAACACCCUCUUGCGGUGGAUCAGACCGCUGGUGUUUGUGAAAUGCGUGCGAGCAGUGGCGAUCGAUGCAGAAUGCUCAAUAGCCAACCGUCGGCAACCAGCCAACAAUCCUGCCCACUUAGGGCACAAUGACCGUAUGGGUCAUCAUGUAACCAAAUCGACCAACCAGGUUACAAGUAUAAGAUAUGAACUCGACCAACCAGGUCAUAGAUACAACAUAGGAGAAUCGACCAACCAGGUCACAGAUACAAAUAGAAGAACCAACCAACCAGGUCAUAGAUAUCAUAAACGGAUAAAAUCUACUCUACUCCUACACAUGAUACUACACAUGGAAACAUCUAAGUAGAGUAAAUAAGGAAAUAGCAUGGGUGCAGGGCUCAACAUGUAUAAGUAAGUUAUAUAAAUAACAAGGGUAAAGGAAACGUCACCGAGCGUGCACCACUGUACCGACUUCGGAUCGAAGUACCUACCUGUACGUGUCUGACGGAGAUCUCUCGACUGUGAAGACGGAACAAUCGAACCUACAAAAGGUCCAACGGGUCAGAAUCUAACCCACUAACCUGUCUCGCUACACACAAUCCCCACUCACCAAAACGACGAGAACCGGUUUCCCAAAACCGAUUACCGAACAAGCCGGAAGUCCCGAAAACCGCACCGAAACUCUACCGUCGCUCACCCGUCAUUUCCGAACCCUCAAAACGAUGCGGGUGACCAGCCAGCAAGGCUCAGCGACGUCGCAAAUAAUGACCAAGUACCGUCGGAAGAAUUCCGAACCGAAACUGCGUUCUAUUGGCGGAUUUCACCGAAAAACGCAUCGAAAAUCACUUUUCGAUUUCCGCGAGGGCUUGGGGCCUUAGACAAUCAGUCCAGAGGUUUAUCCACAGCCAAUACAUGCUGCCAACAGCAGCUACGACGAAGCAAAAGCAUAAAAGCCCUUACCGAUACAUAAAAUCAUAUCAUUUUAUGUGAUUUCAGAGCUUUUAUGGGCCGUGCACACAAACCAGAGGUCAAUUUCUCAAACCGUCGCACUCGCUGACAGGUUUCAGCAUGUCGGAGGCCGUGCUCACCUUUCAGAGCAUUGCCGGCCACUGCGGUGCGCGUACGAGCGAUGCGAAGAUCUGUGAAACUGUGCGCACAGUGCGUAGACUAUUGUUAACUCGCUAACCAGGGCACCUUUGCCGCUGUCGGAGGUGAGCAUGAUGUUCAGCACGAGUUGUAGAUCAUCGUGCUCACUUCCCGAAGUUUAGGAGGCUUAUCGGAUCACCGAAAAGCUGACCGGAACCUCGGAAAUCAGUGCUGGAACGUAAAACAGCCUUACCGGAACCGGGAAGAGCUAGGGUUGGUCGCCGGCGGCCGGGAGGCGGGCAGUCCAGCCAGGGGAGGUCGCGGUCGGUAGGUGAGGUCUGGGGCACCCACUGGCCUAAGGGGAGCGGCGGCAGCGCGCGGAUCCCUAGCUUGAGCCCGCUCGGGUAGGUUGACCCGAGCUGGCCGCAAGGAGCAGGGAUGGCUCCGGCGGCGCUCGGGGGUGGCCGGGGCCGGCGGGGGAGGACGCCGGAGUUGGGCCUCGGCCAAGGGAUGUUAAAGCUCGGCUUUGAUAUUCCCCCGAGCACACCAACCACAGGUAUGGCAGGUCGGAGCUAGAGGAGAGCCGAGAGGAGGCCGGGAUGGCUUUUUCGACGGCCGAAGCGGCUCGCCGGCGGCCGGGGCGUGCGCACCGGUUGGGCAGGGUGGAGGUAGGGCGGCUAGGGUUAGCUAGGUGAACGUAGGCAGCCAAAAGAACCAUGGAAAACCCUAGACGCCACCUAUAUACAAGGUGUCAAUCUUGCGAGGAACCCCUUCUGUAAGGACUGAGAUUUUGGCAGUGCAAUUAGACUCUCUGUUGACGAUGUUCCUGUGUGUAAUUUAAUAACAUAAGCACUCGUCAAGUUUUAGGAGAAAAUGAGCUAAAAUGGAGAAGAUAUACGAUUUUUAGUUUUCACUUAAGUGAAUAGUAACUCUGGUUUUUCGGAGAAGCCGCAGAGUAGAGUUGGCUUCUGGCGCGUAUCGGACUCCGUUCAUAGCGAUCCAAUAGCUCGUUUUGAUCGGUUCAGCUAUUUUGGAACCAAUGGCACUGACGGAUUUUAGAUCUGAUGCACGAUUUUCGAGAAAAAAGGAGUUUUAUCAAAAAGAGGGUUUUCGUUCUUUGCCUUUCUGGCAUUGUGAAGCUCCUCGUGCUCCGUGCUUGUGACCUAGAGUAGGCUAAAGGAUGUUUCGGGUCCCUACUAGUGGUAGGGAAGUCAAAUUCAAGUGCAAAUUUUUGGUUUAGUGGGAUUACAUAGUUGUACAUGUGUUUGAUGUGGAAUAUUUAGAGAGAGGAUGGUUCGGUCGCAAAUCGGCGACAAAAUCGGAUGAAACAAAAUGGUGGUUUCGAUGCUCUCGUCAUGCUGAACGCGAUGGUCCAGUUGAAUCGAAAAUCCGACGGACGGAUCUCCGGUAAUUGCAAAGUUUUCACUAAGAGGUCAAAGCGGCAUUUUUGGUAUUUCGCGCGAAACCCUUAUAUUUUAUGUGCCGAAUCGCGUGAGAUCAAACGUGGAGGUGCGUAUGUGUAAAAUACGCGCGCUGUGAGGGACUUGACUGAGAAUAUUAUCCCCGGGAGGACGUUUAUGCAAAAUGCCACUUGUAUAUAGGUUUUGCAACUAGAGUUUCUUUGCAUGAAACCCUAGAUCCAGCCGACCUAGCUCCCCUAACUAAGCCUAGCCACCACCAGCAUCACCAUGCCCUGGCUGUGCGCGCGCCCCUGCCACCGGAAAGCUCCUCCGGCUGCCGGAAAAGCUUGGGUGGCCUCUCCUCCACAAUCUCCUCCACUUAUCCACCUCUCCAACUCUGCCCGUGGACCACCAGGGAGAUCUUCACCCUCGGGCUCCCUCCCUCGGUCGUGCCCCACCUCCGUUAGCCUCCCCCGCCGGUCGCCGCCGACCUCGCGCGCCGGUAUUGUCGGUCUGGGAAGCCUGCGGCCAGCCUGCACAGGCUCUGGCCGAGAUCAGCACAGCCGCUGGUUCACGCACUGCCGCCGUCCCCGGAGCCUCGGGACUCGUCCCGCGGUUCACCGCCGCCUGCUGCGGCGCCAGCUGCCGCCAGCCACGGCCAGCCUGGCGCGCCCCAGACCCGCUCGGGCCGAAGGCAAAGUGACGACUCCUUCCCUGCGCCGCCUCGCUCAGGUGCCGCACCCGAGGCAUUCCUCUCGGCUCCGGAACCCUUCUCCGCCGUCCCGCAGCUCCCGGCGGCACGCCGUGGCCGCCAUUGCCCGUGGAACCCGAGCUGGAGCUCGUGCGGGCUGAGCUUGUUUCCCCGAAGCCGCCGCCGCUCCCCGCCGCCAACUGAGGUGAGCACCUCACUCCUCACCUCCCCAGCACCCAUCCCUGGCCUCCGCGCGCGCCGCCGUGCCGCCGGAAGCCGGCCGGAGCAACCUUGCUCCGGCCAAGCCCGAAAUAGGGCUUAUUUUAGUGGGUUUUUGUUUCUGUGCUUCCUGAGCCUCCCCGAUCUCUACGGAAGGGAGCACGAUGAUCGUGACUCAUCACUGAUCAUCGUGCUCACCUUAUUUUCUGUCGGGGAGGCUCCGUUCCGCUGUUUCGGCGGUGUCGACCCUGUUGAGCCUUUUUGGCUGCUGUUCUGUGCUUGCGCGUAUUUUUUCGGCGAUCUGAGGCUGUUCCGAUGCCUCCGGAGGUGAGCAUGGUGAUCGUUGGUCAGUUCUGAUCACAGUGCUCACCUUACUUUGUAUCAAAGGAUGUCGUAUCGGCCUGUUCGGCGCGAUUUUCCCCGACUGCGCGCUGUUCGCUGAACCUUCGGGUUACUCCCGCGCUUCCCAUAGUGAGCCAUUGUGCUCCAGAUCUUAAGCAUGGCCUCCGGUACGUCGAGACCUGUCAGUACGUGUCUCGGCGGACCCUGGAAGUCCUCGGUUUGCUUGAACGAGCCACUUGAUCGCUCUAAUUACAUAAAAUGAUGGGAUUUUAUGUAAUUAGAGGGACUUUUAUGCAUUUGUACACCUUAUGGCUACUGUGGGCAGUGCAUGUGUGUGUGUGGUGACCUCUGGACUGAUUGUCCAUGAUCCCAAAUCAAGAGUCGAUUUCGGUGCGUUUUGCGGCGAAAUUUGCCGAAAGAAUGCGGUUUCGGUUCGAAUUUCUUCCGACGUCGUUUGGUUGCUCUGUGAGUAGUCGCUAAGCCUUGUUGGCUGGUCACCAUCAUCACAGUGGGGGUUCGGUGAUGACGGGUGAGCGAUAGUGGGUUCCGAUGUCGAAAUAAACACUUUCGGAAAUCCAGAUUCGUACAAUUAUCCGGCGAUAAUUGUGUAGCGGUGUCAUCUUGUGUUUGCUGCCAAGACAUCCAAACAGGAGUAUUUUGUGGCAGCGGGUGACUCGUGGUACGCUCGGUCAGUUUCGGGACACUUAGUGGGUCCUGACAGCGUCCCAGUGUGGUUUUCGGGACUUCCGGCGAGUUACGACAAUCGGUACUGAAAAACCGAUCUCCGUGGGUUUGUUUGUGAGUUGUGGAUACUGUGGUUAUUAGUUGUGGGUUAGAUACUAACCCGGUGGACCCUCUAUAGGUCCUGUCGACAUUCUUUUGCAGUCAGGAGACAGACGCGACAUCCUUACAGGUGGGUACUUUGAUCCGACGUCGGUACAGUGGUGCAUGCUUGAUGAUGGUUUCUUACCCUUACUCUUCUGUUGUUACUAUCGCAUAGUAUAUUGAGCCUUGCACCCUUGUUUAUUCGUUAUACUCUACUCGUUGUUUGCAUGCUUAGUAUCUUGAGUAGGAGUAGAGUAGUUCUAUCUACAUGCUUAUCUGUUGACCUAGUUGGUCUGUUGUUGCAUUCAGUAUCUGUUGACCUAGUUGGUCGGUUGUUGCAUUCCGUAUCUAUUUAUCUAGUUGGUUGGUUAUUGCAUUCCGUAUCUGUUGAUCUAGUUGGUUGGUUGUUGCAUUCCGUAUCUGUUGACCUAGUUGGUCUGUUGUUGCAUUCAGCAUCUGUUGAUCUAGUUGGUUGGUUGUUGCAUUCCGUAUCUGUUGACCUGGUUGGUCGGUUCUUAUACUGCGUAUCAGGGACCUUGUUGGUCAGUUGGACUCUAUGGACCUUGGGUCCAGGCAACACAUCGACUCUCUUGUCAUGUGUUUCGAUCUGGUUGAUCGUGGUUUAGCGUUGUACGCCCUUAUUUCUGGCUUCGGCCUAGGCACCGGCUUCAGUCGGUUUUUGUAUUGAACAUACCAGCAUGACUUAGUCACAGCACUUCGGGGUAUUCACGACACCGGGUCGGUUUGGCCACCGGCCGGAGGUGUGCUUAUCCGGAUGGGUCGUCCUGUGGGGCGGGUGGAUCAGGUCGGUGCAGUUCAGUGACAGGCAGCGCUUGAGGUCUGUGGACCAAUAUAGCAAGCACCAGAUUGGGUAUAUUUGGACUUAUCGUCUGGUUGACGCAUAUAGCUAUAGUAGCGGUUGUUGUUUCUAUACCUUCAGUUCUUUCGUUACAUUGUCUUGCUACUAUAGUUUUGUUGCAUGUAUACAUUCAGUUGUUUAUUACAAUAGCGGUAGUUGUACUUUCAUUUAUAUAUGUCUCUUUCAUUCAUUAUUAUUGCUACUGUAUUUUCUACUGACCCAUACUGUUGUUUAGCUCUUCCUGAUCCAGUGAGUACUCCUCGCCUUCAUCGGCUUGCGGUACCCACUGGGAGGGGAGACAUGUUUACAUGUUCUCACCUCCCCCACAUUUUUCAUGGUAUCGCAUUGUGACACCCCUUAUAAUCCCACUCGGGAUUGGAAAAAUAGGGUUGUCAUUGGGUUUAUCAUGAGUGACUUGACAACUAGUAAAAUAACUGGGCGGCUGGUUUGCCAACGACUUAAUUGUUGUAGUGGUGGGCUGUGCUACAUUUUGGUACGAUGCGGUACCAGCUGCGACGUCGUUGGCGAGUCUCGGCUGGAGCCAGGGUCUGGAUAGGCUAGCGAGACGAGUCUCACAUCGCUGGUGUUCUUAGGCUGGUAUUAUUCGAUCGACGAGAUAGAGCCUUAACGGGGAGUCUGUGAGCCAAUAAUCCCGAUCGGAUGGGAGAUAGGUGUAGUUGGUUUUAUAGAACUUGGACACUAGUAUUAAUAAUGGGCUUAGUAUUUAUUGGUCCGGUGUUGGCGCAACGAGUUAUUGUUGCAGUGGGCUGGCGUGGCACCAGAUGUAUCAGAGCAAUUACCAGCGAAGUGUGAGUUGAGUCUCUGCUGAGGCAGGGUCUGGAUGACGCUGGCUAGCAAGACGGUCCUCUACUCGCUGGUACUUGUGAGUCUGCCUACGAGGAGUCAGGGCUUAAGGAGGGGAGAUUUGUCGAAGACUCCAAGAUAAUCUCAGUAUAUAUAAGAUUAUAGGUAAACUCUAAUUCGCUUAAGCAUUUGGUGAGGUGUUGGCAAGGCCAAAGGUUAAGAGAGUUAAGCGUGCUUGGGACGGGAGUAGUCAGAUGGGUGACCCUGGGAAGUGGGGGUCACAUUUGGUAUCAGAGCCGGUUCACCAGCUGGACAUGUGUGGCGAGUCUCGGCUGAGCCAGGGUCUGGAUGACGGGCUAGCGAGACGAGUCUCACAUCGCCUGGUGUUCUUGGGCUGUGUAUGUGAUUGGACUGACGAGGACGUCAGAGCCUUAACGGGGGGAGUCUGUGACACCCCAAUAAUCCCACAUCGGAUGGGAAUAGGGUUGUCAUUGGGUUUAUAUGAGACUUGGACACUAGUAAUAAUAACUGGGCUUAAGCAUUUUGGGCCGGUGGUUGGGCCCAACAAGUUAUUGUUGCUAGUGGGCUGGGUCGUUACAUUGUCAUCCAGACCCUGGCUCAGCCGAGACUCGCCACACAUGUCCAGCUGGUGAACCGGCUCUGAUACCAAAUGUAACGCCCCAACUUCCCAGGGGGUCACCCAUCCUAGGACUACUCCCGUCCCAGCACGCUUAACUCUCUUAACCUUUUGGGCCUUGCCACCACCCAAAAUGCUUAAGCUGGAUUAAGAGUUUAGCCGUAUUAUAUCUCAUAUAUAGGAUUAUCUGGAGUCUCACAAUCGCGGGCGGUGAGAGUUGAGACGAGACGUGAGAUACGUUCGUAGUGGUCGCUAGAGCUUCCGACCCAGUUUGUUGGUUUAGUUCCUACCCUGUUUACUUUUGUUAUUAAUAGCUUUAAUAUUUCAUGGUUCAGUAUUUCAUUAUGUUUAGUUAUUCAAGAUUACAAUUGGUUUUCCGAAUGAGAUAAAGACUUCUGGAUUUUCGUAAAUAAAAUGUUUUGUACCCCUCUUGAUAGCGUUUUUAAAAGAUAAAAGUUUUCGUGUAGGGAACAGUUUUCAAAAGGUUUUCCGUGGAUUUAUGCUUGAACUAUGAAUGGUAAAUCUGUGAUGAAUGGUGAAUGAAUAGUGAUUGUUUUUUUAUUCAUUAUGGUGGUUGUAUUCUGGUUAUACUCUUGUACUUGUGCGAUGCCGUGCAAAUAUAGGGGAGACUCUGUCCGUGUG
rnacentral:lncRNA from 1 species